rnacentral:ncRNA from 1 species
UGUAUUUUACAGUUGUAUUAGUGGGGGGUUACACCUCUUCAAAGCNUAACACAGGUCUCCUAAGGUGAGCUCAGGGAGGAAGGAAAUCUCCCAUGGAGCAUAACAGCAAAAUAUAGACCAUGAGAGCAGGGCCUCAUGAUCCUCCUGGCUUUGGGGUUUUAAGCAGGAGGUGUCAGAAAAGUUACCA